rnacentral:rRNA from 1 species
AAUAGAUACCCUGGUAGUCCACACCGUAAACGAUGGAUACUAGCUGUUUGAGCGCAAGUUUGAGUGGCUAAGCGAAAGUGAUAAGUAUCCCACCUGGGGAGUACGGGCGCAAGCCUGAAACUCAAAGGAAUUGACGGGGGCCCGCACAAGCGGUGGAGCAUGUGGUUUAAUUCGAUGAUACGCGAGGAACCUUACCAGGGCUUAAAUGUAGAUUGACGUAUUUGGAAACAGAUAUUUCUUCGGACAAUUUACAAGGUGCUGCAUGGUUGUCGUCAGCUCGUGCCGUGAGGUGUCAGGUUAAGUCCUAUAACGAGCGCAACCCCUGUUGUUAGUUGCCAGCGAGUAAUGUCGGGAACUCUAGCAAGACUGCCAGUGUAAACUGUGAGGAAGUGGGGAUGACGUCAAAUCAUCACGGCCCUUACGUCCUGGGCCACACACGUGCUACAAUGGCCGGUACAGAGAGCAGCCACUUAGCGAUAAGGAGCGAAUCUAUAAAGCCGGUCACAGUUCGGA